UACCUGUUUGCCUUCGCCGCCGUUCCACUGAACACAUACAACGUGGUAUACCUCGUCGCAAAGAAAAUUUCUUCCCUGGGUUACUGCUACCUGGCCUACUUGUAGCUUUCCUAUCUUUGUAAAUUCAGCUUGCAGUGUUGGACCCGUUUCGUUAUUUAGAGCUUUGCUACACAGGUUGAAAUCUAGCUGACGGGCUUCUUCUGUUGGGUUG